CGACCUUGAGCGGAUCCCUCAAAGCCGGUCUCAGUUCGGAUUGCAGUCUGCAACUCGACUGCAUGAAGUUGGAAUCGCUAGUAAUCGUGGAUCAGCCAAGCCGCGGUGAAUACGUUCCCGGGCCUU
rnacentral:rRNA from 1 species